rnacentral:tRNA from 1 species
UCCCUGAUAGCUCAGUUGGUAAAGAAUCUGCCUGCAACGCAGGACACCCCGGUUUGAUUCCUGGGUUGGGAA